GGAGUCCACGAUCGAAGGCGUUUACACACUUGUGUGUGGGGGGGUACAUCCAUGUGCCUGGUCCCCCCACCCCUUUUAACAUUCAGGUCCCCACGUACUCCCCAUUUAAUGAGAACGCAAGGUUGCUAUGCCAAGGAAUACGUGUGCACUUGUACACUGUAUUUGCAUGUGUUCAUGUUCUGACUCAACUUUUCCCAUGCAUCAAUUAACACAUGAACUGCUGCACCUGUAAUAAACAUGUUUUCCUUUUGCAAUGAUACAGAUGUUCAUCAGCACAGACAAAAGGGCGGACUUGUUGGAUGUCCCUGGUAUGACGGUGCAAUUGAAGCAGGACUGAUCCCGAGAAGGAUAAGAACAGCUUCAUCAAACUACUCAUAGCAAGACUGCAACCAUCAGGAAGUGAUGUUUACUUGCAUCCUUCAUGCUGCUGCUGCUGCUGCUGCUUAAGUGAAAACCACAGAUGUUCUCCAUGUUGGGAAAUCAAUGUCGCUGCAGUUAUAUGUAGAUCGGAUGCACUUCUUUCCACGGUAAAGGAAGGUGCUAUACAACGAAGCAAGGAAAUUAACAGAUAACACAGAAGAAUGUUUACCAGCACAUUCGUGAAUGAAGUCUGUUGACAUGUAGGUGUUAUCAAUGGAAAUGCAAUUCGUACCGAGAACGUUCUACAGAAGGACUUCAUCAAAAUAACUUUAUCUAAAAAACUGCAACCAAUAGGACAUGAGGUAUAUAAAUGUAUGUUGUUGCGACUAAGUCAAAAGAACCAAAAUGAAAUAGGGCACAACAGAGAUGAACAUGACAGCAGAGAAAAGGAAACUAUAUUUACAGAAAUCUAUUCAGUUUACAAACCAAAAAUAAUAAUAAUUAAAAGCAAUUUAAAUUCAGGUUACUAUUUUUUAUAAAAUUAAAUAAUUACUUAUUGGUUGCUAUCGAGGAUACUGGACUUUAUUGGGUGUUUGUGUUGUCGUCAAGUUGACUGCUGGUGUUCUGGCUUGGAGGGGCAACUCGGGCGCAGCUGGCUGAAGCACUGGCCGGUGCACAGGAUUGGUCUGGUCCGAGGCCAUCUAGGAAGAGCCCCAAAACUAGAUGGUUUACAGCGGUGACUCGUGUGUAGCUUCAUCACUCCAGCCAAUAUCUAAUUGGCCCUCGCCAAUUAGAUAUUGGCUGGAGUGAUGAAGGUUGGCGACACCCAUCAAUUGGAAAAAGAGCAGAGCCCCUGGCUGAACUGGUGGCUGUAGUGCAAUGAGUGCACCCAAGCACGGUACAACCCACUUCUUAAAUACAUGUGCACCCAGAAAAUAAUAAAGAGGCCAUUACAUAACCGGUCAGCCCACUGGGCAACAUUUUAACAAAAGAAUAUCAGAUACAAACCACAAUACAUGUACAUAGGGAACGAAGGAAGUUACAUAAUCGGGUCUGCUGCAGAUCAGUUUAGACUUAAAAUAUCACAAAUGUCUAAAGAAUGAGUUAAAUAAAAAAAAACAGCAGGUUAAUUGCAAAGGAAGAAAUAUCCCAUCUGUAACAAUGUGUUACAGAUGUCCCCGGCAUAUUUUUUUUAAGAUAUCUGCAGAAAUUGUGAACACAGGUUUCAGAGCAUUAUGCAAGGUUUUCAGUGGUCACAAGUUCCUGAUAUUUUAAUUUUAAAAUACUUUUAACUUUUACAUGUUCCCAAGUUUUUUUAAAUAUGUAGGACAUAAAAAAACCUUUACCGGUAUUUAUGUAAUAUACAGUAGUGAAAUGCCCUAAUGCAGUUUUUCUCUUUUGUUUUAUAAAUAGCAAGGACACUUUAACAUAUUCUUUAACUCUGAUAAUCCUUCAACUUCAAGACCAGUUUCAGUGUUCAAUAUUUUGAGUGCAGUUCAUAACACACACUUAAAUUCCACAAUCGGAGUUUGUGCUUCUGUGCACUUGCAGAUACAAUUGUUAAAACUAAUCAUUUGUCCAGUUACUGUUGACAGGAAAUAAGAUGUACUUUUGAAAGAAUUGUAUGAAAUUGAUGUUUGCAUUAUUUUUCUUCCCGUCUUUAAAUCGACGUUUCUUAAUACUUUGUGUAUACCGAUGGCCCUAACAGUCCCAUAUCGUCUGGUAUUAAGAUGAUUUUACAUGAUCACAGUAGUUGCAAAUCCGUACACCGUACUGCAGCAAAUCCUCUUGCCGGCACUCAUCCCGGGCCCAUUCAAACCCCGUUUGACCAUUAUUUCGAUACGGAUGAGGCAAACAAAAGCCCGAAGUGAACUGAAUUAAGCAUUAGCAUUUGAAAUAACUAUUCAUUGUUUGUUGCCCGUUUUACUUUAAUAUAGGCAAGGGAAACAUUGUGUUUGUCUCUGAGAUCCCAAUCAAGGUCAUCUUAUUCCAAACAGAUAUUAAAGAUAUUUUUUUUGUCUCGCAUACAAAUUAAUAAUGGGAGUUUACAGGCUUGUGGCGUAUGCCCGGAGUGAGGAUUACAAAAAAUCUCUGUGACCCAUUGAGAAAAAAAUUACUUACCAUAUUUGGUGAUAUUUGUCGAUUUCCAUCACUGGCCGUUGAGCCCAGGGUUAAACUGAACUGAAAGUCUAAUAUAAAGUUUGUGAAGUCUAUCGUCAGUAGCCCUAUCCUGUUUGUGUGACGUCACCUCAGUUUAAACCACGUCCACUGCACAUGCACUGCACAUAGAGCUACAUGCA